rnacentral:rRNA from 1 species
CCUACGGGAGGCAGCAGUGGGGAAUUUUGGACAAUGGGCGAAAGCCUGAUCCAGCAAUGCCGCGUGAGUGAAGAAGGCCUUCGGGUUGUAAAGCUCUUUUGUCAGGGAAGAAACGGUGAGAGCUAAUAUCUCUUGCUAAUGACGGUACCUGAAGAAUAAGCACCGGCUAACUACGUGCCAGCAGCCGCGGUAAUACGUAGGGUGCAAGCGUUAAUCGGAAUUACUGGGCGUAAAGCGUGCGCAGGCGGUUUUGUAAGUCUGAUGUGAAAUCCCCGGGCUCAACCUGGGAAUUGCAUUGGAGACUGCAAGGCUAGAAUCUGGCAGAGGGGGGUAGAAUUCCACGUGUAGCAGUGAAAUGCGUAGAUAUGUGGAGGAACACCGAUGGCGAAGGCAGCCCCCUGGGUCAAGAUUGACGCUCAUGCACGAAAGCGUGGGGAGCAAACAGGAUUAGAUACCCUGGUAGUCCACGCCCUAAACGAUGUCUACUAGUUGUCGGGUCUUAAUUGACUUGGUAACGCAGCUAACGCGUGAAGUAGACCGCCUGGGGAGUACGGUCGCAAGAUUAAAACNCAAAGGAUUGACG